GACCCCCCCAUGGGAGACGCUGAGUACUUGGCGGCCUUCAGAACGGUGGUCAUGCCAAUCGCCAGCGAGUUUGCCCCGGACGUGGUGCUGGUGUCAUCAGGCUUCGAUGCUGUGGAGGGCCACCCCACACCUCUCGGGGGCUACAACCUCUCCGCCAGAUGCUUCGGGUACCUGACGAAGCAGCUGAUGGGCCUGGCUGGCGGCCGGAUCGUCCUGGCCCUCGAGGGAGGCCACGACCUGACCGCCAUUUGCGACGCCUCCGAAGCAUGUGUUUCUGCCUUGCUGGGAAAUGAGUACUUAGGGAAAAACUCGGUGUGAAGGAUUCCCUCUGAGAGAUCUGACUUCUUCCAUUUCAUCUCCCCCGACCCCACCUUCCACUGCCCUGGAAGAAAACCAAGAUCAGGGGAUAUUCAGACAUUCUUAUUUAUUAAUAAAAGACAAGGGAAAG
rnacentral:sRNA from 1 species